GGGCCCGUAGCUCAGUUGGAUAGAGUGUCUGGCUACGAACCAGAAGGUCGGGAGUUCGAAUCUCUCCGGGCCCGCCA
rnacentral:tRNA from 1 species